rnacentral:rRNA from 1 species
AUUGAACGCUGGCGGAAUGCUUUACACAUGCAAGUCGAACGGCAGCACGGACUUCGGUCUGGUGGCGAGUGGCGAACGGGUGAGUAAUGUAUCGGAACGUGCCCAGUCGUGGGGGAUAACGUAGUGAAAAUUACGCUAAUACCGCAUACGAUCUAUGGAUGAAAGCGGGGGAUCGCAAGACCUCGCGCGAUUGGAGCGGCCGAUAUCGGAUUAGGUAGUUGGUGGGGUAAAGGCCCUCCAAGCCAACGAUCUGUAGCUGGUCUGAGAGGACGACCAGCCACACUGGAACUGAGACACGGUCCAGACUCCUACGGGAGGCAGCAGUGGGGAAUUUUGGACAAUGGGCGAAAGCCUGGUCCAGCCAUUCCGCGUGCAGGAUGAAGGCCCUCGGGUUGUAAACUGCUUUUGUACAGAACGAAAAGGUUUCUACUAAUACUAGGAGCUCAUGACGGUACUGUAAGAAUAAGCACCGGCUAACUACGUGCCAGCCGCCGCCGUAA